AAAUAAAAAUAAAUAAAUAAAUAAAUAAAUAAAUAAAUAAAUAAAUAAAUAAGGAUUCCUUAGGAAACCAAGGGUUACAUUUAACAUUCUCAGGGAGGAUAUUAAUUAAAUCUGAAAAGAAAAUGGGUUUUUAUUUUUCAUUUUUCAGUAAAGAGAGGUAGAUUAUUGUAGAUUAAAGAGGAAUCUAGAGAUGGAAAGGAAAUGUACUGUUUUUGUUCUUCAAAAGAGCUUUUGAUCUAGGAAAAGACCAGGAAGACCAUAGGUCCCUACAGAGAAAGGGGUAACAGGGAAGAAAAAUAGAAAAAGAGGAGACUUGAGCCUCAUGCAUAUCUUUCCUAUUCUUUGAUUUUGCCUAGAGUCUUAAAUGCUCAACAUUUUGUCAGACCUAGUGUUCUUAAUUCAGCCAGGGAGAUCAAUGGGCUAUAUCACUGCCAACAAUCAACAUAGCAGGAUUGUCCCUGCCCACUUCAGCGGCCAUAGCCUCAGACACACAGAGGCACCUUCCCCUAACUCCAACCUUAAAAAAUAUCAUUACUAGUAAAAUUAAACAAACUUUAGUGCUUUAUUUUAAAAUGGAAUACACUAUACAAAUAAAAAUACGUAAAUAUUUGUUUAGAAGGGGAAAAGCGAGAGAAAAAGAUGAGAGUGACUUAGCAGGAGGAUCUAAAGCAGAAGGGAGGUAAAAUGGAGACCAUUCCUUCAAUCUUCAGGGAAAUAAUCUUUUUUUUGGCAGAGAGGCCAAUGUUUUAUUGCUAUUGAGUUUUAAGCUAAUUGGAGUAGGAAUUUUCUCUAUUUCUGCCUUAAGUAAAAAUAAAAAUUGUUGAUGGCAGGAAUGUCUAUGUCUUAAUGUAGAAAUUUUAGUUGCAAAUGUACACCAUCAAAGUAAAGCUAGUUUUGACAUUCCUGAGGAAAGCUGAUGUAUUAGUCAGGAUUCACGGGAGGAACAGAACCAAAGGAAAUAUAUAGGUCUAUAAGAAGGGAUGUGUUAUGGGAAUUGGCUCACACAAUUCUGGAGGCUGAGAAAUCCCACGAUAUGCCGUCUGCAAGUUGGAGAACCAGGAAAGCCAGGAUGUGAUUCAGUCUGAGUAGGAAGGCCUGAGAACCAGAGGAGCCUGUGGUGUAGUUUUCAGUCUGAGGCCGAAGGCCUGAGAGCCAGGAGGGCAGCUAGUGUAAGUCUCAGAGUUCAGAGGACUGAUAACUCAGCAUUCUGAUGUCUUAGGGAAGGAGAAAGUAGUCCCAGCUCCAGCAGAGAGAGCAAAGUUUCCCUUCCUCAGCCUUUUUGUUCUGUCUGAGCCCCUCAAGGGACUGGAUCUGAAUGAUGCUUACCCAUCUGAGGGCAGGUCUUUCUUAUUCAGCCUGCUGAUUCAAAUGCUAAUCUCUUCUGGAAAUACCCUCAAAGACAUACCCAGAAAUAAUCCUUUACCAGCUACCUGGGCAUCUCUUUGCCCAGUCAGGUCGACACAAAGUUAACCUUCACAGCUGUAGAAAGCGACAUUGACUUAUUAUAGCCAGAAUGGUCUCAGGACUUCCUGAGUGUGUGUGACUAACUAACCCUACAGUUAAUGCAAGAACUGCCCCUCAUACAUGUUAGUUACCUUAACAGCCCCUCAUCCAGACCUGUCCAAGCAGCCUUUCUCUGAAUACUUGUUUCAAAGGCAGGCUUCUCAAAGAUGCAGGAAUACCAUUUAAUCUCUAGGUUGAAUAGACAGAAUUCAGUUAACAUUAGAGUAGUGAAUUCAGUUCAAGAAAAUACUUAAGCAGUAAAUUCCACUGAAAUCCUAGGGAAAGUUUGGACAUUGCCACUCCAGAGGGGAUUAGAUUUCACUUGCCUAAUUAACUUGAGGAUGAAGAUAUCAUCAGCAGCCAAGUUCUAAACAAGUACUUGCUCUUUGAUUCAGACCUUUAAAAAUUGUAUAUAUACAUUUCUUCCCCUCAGCAAUCCUUUCUUCAAAACAAGGAGAAGUUUUUUUUAAAGAUACUGCAUUCCAGGCCUACUUAACGAUCUUAUCAUAGCACUAAUUGCUAUGUACUAGUAAUGUAGCAGCUGAAUUUGUUGUUCCCUUCAACUCUGCAGGAAAUGUGAAAGUCUGUAAAAUAGCUGAUGUCUUCAGUAAUCAUCCACAUUCUGGCUAGCACUCAAGUGGACUGGGGAGACCUACUGAGGCAGGCCUAUGUUUGAGUAGGAUCCCUUUUCCUCUGUCUUGUAUCUCAGCCAAUUAUCAGGAAUGAGGACUUGUGCAUUAGUUAGUUGUUCUAUGUACAUCUAUUGAUAGCUCUCACUGUUGAGGGCUCACAGAGUAAUCUCAUCUUGGCAUUACAACCUCCCACUUCCUUUCUGAUAACUUUUGUUUUUUAAACAAUUUGCUUUAAAAUUGAUUCAAAUCUUUAUGAUUAAGGCCACCUUGGUCUUUUAUUGGCAGCUGCCCUAGGAAUCCAAGAAUUGGCCCAAGUAACCAUUUGCUAGAAAGGAAUAAAAGAGUCCCCUGAGGUGACUUGGGAAUCUCAAAACAAAUUUAUAAUUUUGAUGUGAGACCAAGAGAACUUAUCAACUCAAUUAAAAUUGCCCUAUGAUUAGCCUUCCCAUAGCCCUCUGAGUGGCCAGGUCCCAGAAAGGUCAAGCAGCCUCAAAGGAGCAUUUAAUAAAUAUUUUAGUUCCAAGAUAAUAUACAUUGCUGGAAAAGGGAAGAGAGCAAACCAGAGGCAAUAAGUAUAGCAUUCUAUUCUCUUUAGUGUCUUGGAAUCUUCAACAAAAGUUUGCCUUAUUUUGGCUAAGUAGAGAAAAUUUAUGAGCCAAGCGGGCAAUGGACAGCUGUCUAUGUAUUGUGAUUCAAUAGAAGGCUGGGCUGGGGCUCCGCCUCUAAAGUUAUAAUAUUUGCCUUCUUACUAUGGCAUCAUCUUUCUAUUGGGUUUUGGCUAGUGCACUCAAAUUGAGAACACAGCUUCACAGGCAGAACACAACACACAGAUGCAAGGUCUCCUGAUGGCAGAAAACCUUAUAACCAGAGACGGGGUUACUCCGUGUUAGCCAGGAUGGUCUCGAUCUCCUGACCUCGUGAUCCACCUGCCUUGGCCUCCCAAAGUGCUGGGAUUCUGUAAUCCCAGUGAGCCACCGCGCCUGGCCCAUAAUCAACCUCAGCUGCCAACGCCAGAAUCAACCUCAGCUGCCAAAUGCUAGACUGAAAAAAGAAUGUAAACAGCUUGAUGGAGGGGAGGAUCCUGGUGCACCUGUGGUUUUGACAGCUUUUGCUGCUGCUUGAGGAGGAAACAGGUUGCCUGUUUGUUCUUCAAGAGCACUUCUGGCAUCCAGGUAUUAUGCAGGCAUGCACUGCCAGCUGUGAAAGAUGCCGCUUCCUUGUCACUUCAGAGAAUGAUGCUUCUACAGAAGAUCCCUCUUGCUAUUUCAUUCAGGGAGCUCGGGAGAGGAAGACAAAAAGAAUCAAAUGCAAAGCACAGAUCAUUGAAAGGGCCAGGGUCUGAAGUGAGACAACUCGUGUCACAGUGUUUUCAAACUUGAGAAUGGUACAGUAAAUUAGAAUGACUUAAUUGUAGUGAUUUUAAAAAGAUAUGAGUCCUCUAAUGGAUGGAUUAAAGAAAAGAAUAGCAAGAAAAUGCACAUAUACCAAAUUUUGACUGCCCGUGUGUUUAUACAGCCAAUGUUCUGUUCUGGUCAAGAAGAAAAGUAAGUAAGAUAACCUGUUUAUGUCAAGACAUCACAGAUGAGAAAAAAUAGAAUAUUAAAUCAUUGAGUCAACUUCAUAACUGAAAGUUUUUAACUGAAAUAUAUAUGCUUCACAGAUAAUCUAACAAUGUUGCAUGUAUUAUUUAUCUUAUGCUUACAUUAAAUACGUAUAUACCCUAAGGAAGAUUUCAAAAAUGAAAGUUUUGAAACAUGUUUCCUAUCAAUUAUUAAACUUAUUAUAAAACUUCAAUAGUUAAAAUAAUAUGGUUUAAUUGAUAUAAUGAAUCAGUAGAAGAGAUAUCAAACCUAAGACUCAAGAGUAUGAGAAUGUCAUGUAGAUAAAAAGGACAUUUCAAAUUAGUGGAAAAAGUGAAUUAUUCUAUAAAUUCUGUGAGUCAGUUGGAUAACUGUUAGGAAAAGAGAAAACCUAGAUCCCUACCUCAUUUUUAUUAAACUAAGUACCUUAUAUUAGGCUAAAGUAAAGAUAGGUGAAAGACUAAAAUAUACAAAUUAAAUAUAAUCACAAUAAAAUUGAGAAGAAAGCAUAAGUAAAUAUUUAAAAAACUUGAGUAACAAAGCUCAUUUCAAUAACGCCAUAAAAUUGGAAACAGCUCAGGAAAAGAUUUAUCAAUAUAAUUACAUAAACUCAUAGAACUUUUUAAAGACAAAAAGCAGCCUAUGGUAAAUUUGAAAGAAAAUGAAAAUUAAUAGAAUUACUUUUAAUAGUGUCAUUGUUAAAGCAUUCAUAUUUUAAUAUAUAAAAGCUCUUCAAAAUCAGUAAGGAUUAAAAAAUUGGUGAUCAUAAUAAAAAAAGGCAAGGGAUUUGAAAUAGGCAAUAGACAAAAGAGGAAACGUAAGUGGCUGGUAAACAUAGAUGAUAGAUAAAUGGAUGAAUAAGUAAUUAGGUAGCAUGUGGAUGCGUGGGGUAGGGGAGGGAAUGAAAGGGAAAAAGAGGGAAGACAAGGGAAGAAGGGAGGAAAAUCAAAAGGGAAGGGGACAAGAAAAGAAAAAAAAAUUAUACCAUUAUUCACUUAACAAAUUGGAAAAAGAUUUGGAGAAUGGACCACUCUUGUGAACUAAUAUACAAUAUAUUUUAAUGUUAAUUGUGCAUAGAUUUGACCCAGCAGUCUCAGUUCUGGAAAGUUACUCUAGCUAAUAUUAUAGCUAUAAAAAUAUUCACAGCAGAAUGCUUUAUAGUAGAAAUUAUAAUAAAGAAAACAACUUAAAUAUUCAUCAAGAUAUUAUUUAAUUGAAUAAUGGUUCUUAUUAUAAUUGGAUUUUAUAGUUCCACUCAAAUAAUGAUGUAGAAUUAAUUUAUUUGAAAACAUGCCCAGAACAUAUUGUUGAGUGGAAAAAAAUGAAGUUGCAGAACAGAAUAUAAGGUAUUUUUCUAGUUAUAUAUCCUUAUGUAUUUAUAUUAAUAAAACACCUAAAAGGAUUGUUACCAAACAACAUCAAUAGUGACUAUUUCUAGGUGGUAGCAUUUGAGGUAAUACAUCGUUUUACACUGGUACAUUUUUGGUAUUAUGUGACUUUUUCUAUUAGAGUAUACCAUUGUUACAAAAUGAAUAAAAGUUGUUUUCAAAAGAUAAAAAGCAUUUUGCUAAUUUUAAUUUUUAUUUGCUUCUUUUAAAUAUUUUUAAUCAUUGUACUUUUUACCUUGAGUAAAAUGAGAUGAAUGUCUAUGCAUUUUUAUUCUAGCAACAUUUUAUCUGGAAUUAUGUAGCCUGAAGGGAAAGCUCCAUACCCUUAUCUUUCUGUAUUUACUGAUUGUUCAUUCUUGGUAUAUUUGGCAUUUUAUUUAAUCUAUAAUUCAAAUAUACUCAGCAUAUCUCAUAAGAUUUGAUGGUCUAGUUUAUAAUUACUUUCAUUAUUGUAAAAUCUUGAUUUUUGUAGGUCAAUAAAUAGGGUUAAAAAUAAAUGAUUUGCAACCUCUUCUUUACAACAGCUCAAAAUGCCUCCAUUUCAUUUUGAACACAUCUCAAUAUCCACAUAAAGGCUCUAAACAAAAUUAAGUUUAAUUCACUCUAAAGGAAAGCACUUCUACAGACCGUUUUAAAGAGGAGGGUAACCAAUUUAAAUAAAUUAUCAGAUACUCAUUUUAUACAGAUGAGUGCUGCUAAUUACAAUCAGUCUCAUCUAUUCCUUAAAACUAGUCCAACAAGCAUGGAUAAACUUCGUCAGCAGUUAGUCACUUCAUUUAUUUGAAAACCUUAAAACAACAUGUCUUUAAAGAUAUUAUAUAUUUUAGAACUUUUACUAAUUUAGACUAUUUUGGAGGCAUCCCCGAAUAACGGGGUUUUACAAAAAUUCUGAUUUUUACAUGCUUCUUCUCAUUUGAUAUGUUUAGUCUUUAAGCAUUUUCAGUAUUUUCCGGUCUACAUACACUAACCUCUCUAUAUAUUCGACCUUUAAGUCCUCAGUUGUUUCAAGUUAUUAAAUAGUAGUCUACCCUCAGCUAUGUGUACUAGGAAAAUCAUCCCAUCCUUCUUGCAUUGUUUAAUUUACUGUAAUUUGUAUCUUAUUUGACUGUCUGAAGGUGGUGUCAUCUAAAGUAUCAUCUCCAUCCCAUUUCUUACUUGGCUUGUGAUGGAAGAACCAAACCAAAUUGGACUAACACUUACACAAUCUAUAGGUUUUAUAAUCUAUAUAAUCCACCUGUCCUACUUUCCUAAAUUGAUAAUAGAAAACCCUGUACUGGUUCUUUUUUAAAAAUAUUUAUUGUUGUCAUAAUUGUCAUUUUUCUAAAAACUUGCAUAAGCUGUUGUAAGCAGAGCAAAUGGUCUGUUUAUUCUUUCAGUACUUUUGAUUGACUAUGACUUGGCUGAUAUUAUAUUCUUUAUAUACACUGCUUGCUAUAACAAGCCCACCCACAUAAGAAACGUGCUGAGGAAUUAUCAAUCAGAGGGAUAUAUGUCUGUCAUCUUAGAUAAUAGCCUAAACUUUCCACCACCUGCCCCUUUUUAUAAAUUUUCAAGAGCUAUGAUUUUGUUAGAAGAUAAGCUAAGUGGACGUGAUUGUACGAUACUUGAAUAAACUAAGUUACACAGAAAACAUUUCUAUUGUGUUUCUAUCUACAGUAUUUAGCACAGUGCCUCUAACAUUAUAGAUACUCUCUAAAUAGGUGUUGAUCAAAUAGAUGUGUUUUACUUAUGAAAUUUGAUAAAGAUAGCCUGAAAGUGUAGGAAUGUUCUUCUCAGUUAUAGUUUAAGUAGUCAGGAUAACAGCCACAACAGAGGACCAUUCUAGAACCAGAGCUAUCCGAUGUUUACCAGCAGCAACACUGUAAAUUUCAAAACUUGAGGAUUCCUUGGGAAUUCUUUUAUCGACUUAGCAAUUAAUUUAAAUCUACUGUAAUUAAUUUCUGAGAAACCUGCAAAAGCCUAUUAGCUGGUAUUUAUAAACCAACUGAUACUAACCUGGGAGAACCGAUUGGAAUAAAUCAGUGUGUAUCAGCUAGAUAUGCUGCCCUGGCAUCUAGCCAAAUAGAAACAGACUAUUUCCAAGUUUCAGAAAAUAUAAUUAAAUUCAGCUUGAAAUGCAUCUAAAAGUCAUUGGCUGAUGUACUGGCCCAUGGAAAUAAAUAAUUACAUAUUGUAUUAAUAGAGUAUCUAUUUACCAGGAGUUCAAAGCACUGUUUUAACAAGCAUAUAUUCAUAAUAUUCUUGUAAACUAGAAAGGAGGUGCAUGUUUUCUAUAUAAUUAUUUUCCCAAAAAUAGUACUUUGUGAAAAGUCAUUGGCAGAUCAAGAGAUAUUCAUUCUCUUUUGAUUUAUGGUUCAAUAUUGUCCCCAGUUGAACAUAUCACCCAGUACCUCAUCAUCAGUAGGACUGUGAUUUUAACUUUCUUCUUAAAAAGCAAGUGGCUUCUUGCAAACAGAUGAUACCAAUUUCCUUUCUAGCACUUUCUAUAAUACGCCUAUUCUAAAAGGCUUAGCCUCUGCCUGAGGUAUGACCACAAUGUCUUCUAGCAAACCCAAGGCUCCAUUGCUUCUAAUCUGAAAACACAUAGUGCAAAUUUACCUCCCUUCCUCUUCACUACACUGUUCUCCUUCAGCUUUAUUACCUCUGCCAAUACACACUCAUACAUAGAAGGAAGCCUAACAUUCAUACAAUGUGGGUCCUUCCCUAGGUCUGAGGUUAGAAUCAUGUUCUCUUCCUUUCAUAUUAAACUACUUGUUACCUGUUUGGACUUCUGUUGACUUUCUUCAACAUGCAAUCUACUUGACUACUUGGAUUCAUAAUAUGCACUUACUUCUCCUUACAUUCGAAAAUUGUAAUUUUCAAAAUCUGCCUAUCCACCACUAAGAUAACUCAAUAAAUAAACUAUAUAGUCCACUCCCACCACCCCCCAUCCCAUGCCAAGACCUGCUAGAGAGACAGAGAGAGAGAGCUCCUUGAGAGUUUUGCAUCCUUAGCAUAGGCUGCCCUGGUCAUUCUCUCUGCUUGCAGGUGACCUUGCUACAUUUUCAGCCUGCUCCUUUAGUAUCCAUCAAGAACCCCCAUCCUUAACUAGACUCUUGCCCUGACUCAUCUUGGGAUUCAGUUAAAUCAUUAUCUAAACACUAACAUGGCCCCUCAAAAAUGUAGGAACAUCAUUUACCCCUGUAGCUGCUCACAAUAGCUAAUAAGCUUUUGCUAUAAAGAGACAGGAGACAGAAUGUUAUAAGUUAGUGGAAUGUAGUGAGUACAGAAAUACUUAUGUUCAAGAAUUCCAAGAUAGAUAGAUAGAUAGAUAGAUAGAUAGAUAGAUAGAUAGAUAGAUAGAUAGAUAGAUAAAAUAAAAAUUUAUAGAUCUCAGGUAAAGGGGAAGCAAUGCUAUAUGCAAUAUUAUUUUUGAACCUGACCUUGGCUUCAGCUGAAAACGGUAUAUUGUAUACUGUGGGCAAUAUAAGCAUAAUUAGAAACCAGUUUAAUUUUUUAAAAUUCAUUGAAUGUAACAUCCACUUUUCUGUGCUCUUUGAUUUUCAACAAUGUGCAUGUAUUACCUUUAUAACAUUAAACUUAAUGUUUAAAAUAUGCAGUGAAAAUAGAAACAAAAAUUAAGUAAUUAUUAGAGAAAUUUAUUCUUCAUUAGAGCUCCUUAUUUAAAUAAGUGAAACUAUGAAACCAUUCUUAAUAUAUCUGCCUAAUAACUAGCCCUAACUUAUAUAUAUCUGCCUAAUAACUGCCCUAACUUAGCAAGGAUGUACUUCUCAGAUAAUCUCAUGAAGGCCGUGGGAAACCGAGAAAGAUGAUGAUGAUAAAUUAAUACCCUCAAAAUUUUCCAUUAAUGUAUGUGAAUAUAUAUCUAAAUGUUGGUGUGAAACGUCAAUGGUUAUGUGUUUUCCUUCUCCUUUCAUUUGCAGAAGAGAAGAAAGGAAAUUUGGUUUGAUGUUAUCAGUUUUGAUUUGCUAACCCAAAAGGUCCAGAAUAAAGAACAAAUCAUUAUAAAUUCCUGGCAUUGCAAUCAUUGUGGAAAAUGCUGAUUUGGUUCUAUUAACUCACUAAUUCAAUUAAAAGGAGACUAGCAAAAAUCAUCUUAGGAGAGAUUCUGAACUCUUUACUUAAAAACUACUGUAUAACCUCAGGGUUUUGCUGAAGUGGGUAUUGUAGGUCGAGGAGUCUCUGAUAAUCUUCUGCAAUUAUACUUUGCUAAAUGAGCAGAACUGCAGUUCAGGUAGGAAAGGUCUAUGAAUUCCUGGCGUCUUGGAAGAAGCCUUUUGGCCAUUUGGGUGUUUUAUGUAAAUGUAGUUCUUUCUGGAGCUUGAGGAACUGAGCUAAGCUUAGGAGGAAUCAUAGACAAAGAGCAAGAAAUCCCCAGGCCCCUUCAAACAGUUCUGCUUUGUCUGCAGCCUAGUUAUAAGCGCUACCAUUCUUUCCUUCCCUCACUCUAACACUUCACUCUAAAAUGUGUCCUUUACAGUUACUGGGAUCUUAAUAUGUGCCAGGAAUUGCUUCAAAGCUUCCAUGUACUAACUCCUUUCGUCUUUACAAUGAUGAGGCAAAAACAUAUUAAGUAGCCUGACCAAGGUUAAAUAGCGAGUAAUAGGCAGAAUGAAGACUAGGACUGCAGAGCCCACUCUCCUCUACUCCUAGUGUGUUUUCAUCCAAUCAUGAAAACUACAAACUGCUCACUGAGGGCAGACAGCAGCUUGGAUUAGAUUAGCUACAUUGAAUUUCAUGGGAUACUCUUUUAAAAUAGUUUUAUAUCAUUUACUUUGUAUUUUGUUUAUCAAACCAAAUUGGAAAACAAUUGUAUUACCCAGUGAACCUGCAAAGUUUAAUUCUGCUAGAGAAUAGAAUUGGCCACUUGUGAGCUAUGCCAACCCAUUGAUAAUGACGAAAGUAAGCAUUUUUGAGCCUUCUUGGCCUCUUUUACAUCUCUUACCAUCUAAAUGGCAAUUGGGUGUCUUGCUGAAUCUUACCCAGCUGGCAAUCUAAAGUCUUGGUUAUAAUUCAGAAUUUUUGUCUGCCUGAGUGUAAUUCAAAUGCAGGGCCAGAUAUUCUCUUCAAAGCCAAGUUAUGAUUAAUGCUGGAAGUAUCUUCUAUGGAAACAUGACUGGGCUGGGAAGCCUGAGGUUUGAAUUCUAAGGCUGGAUCCACUCCCAAUUCGUUCUGCGGUACUGGGUUAACACUUUUCAUUUACUGAGUCUCAACUCCCACAUAUGUGGAAAGACAGUUUGAAGUAAAUGAUCUAUAAGAUUUCCUUGAGCUCCAAGACUCUAUGAUCCUCAUAGAGUUCUUAAUGAAAGAAAGAAAGAACCUAUUAUGUACAUGGUGAAAAGACAAUGGUAUCAUUUUCUAAGACUUAUUUUUAGAUGACUAGGAACAAGAGGGAUAACCUAAUUUCUAAUAUUUCAAAAAAAUUAUUAGGACUUCCACAAUGUUAAGUUCCAUCUUUCAUUAUAUGUUUUAGCUUUUUCUUUAAAAAAAAAAAAUCUCCCUAGAGAGAAAGGUAAAGACAGGAAAAGGAAGGAAAAGUUUAAGUGUCCUUAUAUAUUAAGGCUCAAGAAACCAGUUGACACUGUUUUUGUGCACUUGAAUAAAACAAUUUCUGGUAACAAAGUAGAACCCUACCUGCAGCAUUCCUUAGCUUGACUGUGAGAAAAUACAGUAAUUCCCUAUGUCUCAAGAAAGAUCUGGGUUGUUGCUGUUCACUAGGGACAUGAAUAUUUGCAAUGAUGUGCAAGGGUGUGAAGGGCCUCCUCCGAGCCAUUGAAAAACACACUUCAUGUCCCUGAGGUGUCAGUUUUACUUACUGAUUUUAAGGAGAGGAAUUGCUAUUUCUAUAUUAAAACAAAUAUGUAAACGUAAAUAUCUUAGGUAAGAAAAGAAGAAUCACCUAUUAAUGGUGAAGAAACACAUGAAUAUUAAUAGAUUACUAUCCCUACAGCAGAUGCUUCAGGUGACUACAGCCAGCUCCAGAGGUUCCAAAGAUCUUAAAGAUGUCCCAGAAAAGUUCUAGAGUACUAUCAGAUCUCACACUUUGCCUUGGAAGCUGUCAUUCCCCUCCAUUGGCCCCACAACUGCAGUAUAAUCUUCAGUGACAGGAGAAAAUCGACCUUGUUUGUACAGAAGUCUCAGCAGGAAUAGGCAGAUGCCUGUUUUUGCUGCCAAGGAUGGAGGAUUGGAAUGGGCCCAUUAUAUAUUUUGAGGCUUUGAAGAAAAGUCUCAGGAUAUGUUUUCCCAUUAAAAUACUGUUAUAAACAAUUAGA
rnacentral:lncRNA from 1 species